rnacentral:lncRNA from 1 species
ACACCCUUUAUUGAAAACCCAAGGAAAGAAAUGCCUCAUGAGUAUUUAAGACUUACCAGCUUAGGGGUUACUGGACAACUAGUAAAUGUACUCUCUGUACUACCUUUAAACUUUAAAGUUCAUCCACACUUCAUUUUUUUUUUCACUUUCUACUUUGCUUCUUUUCAGUUAAAAUUUGAUAUAGAUGAACUUACAUUCUCAUUGAAGCUCUUGCUAGAAUUACAUUUUGAGUCCCU